rnacentral:rRNA from 1 species
GACGAACGCUGGCGGCGUGCCUAAUACAUGCAAGUCGAGCGGACGAAUCGAAAGCUUGCUUUUGAUUCGUAGCGGCGGACGGGUGAGUAACACGUGGGCAACCUGCCCAGUAGACGGGGAUAACACCGAGAAAUCGGUGCUAAUACCGGAUAACACGAAAUGUCGCAUGACGUUUCGUUGAAAGACGGCGCAAGCUGUCGCUACAGGAUGGGCCCGCGGCGCAUUAGCUAGUUGGUGAGGUAACGGCUCACCAAGGCGACGAUGCGUAGCCGACCUGAGAGGGUGAUCGGCCACACUGGGAUUGAGACACGGCCCAGACUCCUACGGGAGGCAGCAGUAGGGAAUCUUCCGCAAUGGACGAAAGUCUGACGGAGCAACGCCGCGUGAGCGAAGAAGGCUUUCGGGUCGUAAAGCUCUGUUGUUAGGGGAGAACAAGUAACGCAGUAACGGGCGUUACCGUGACGGUACCUAACGAGAAAGCCACGGCUAACUACGUGCCAGCAGCCGCGGUAAUAGGUAGGUGGCUAGCGUUGUCCGGAAUUAUUGGGCGUAAAGCGCGCGCAGGCGGUUCCUUAAGUCUGAUGUGAAAGCCCACGGCUCAACCGUGGAGGGUCAUUGGAAACUGGGGGACUUGAGUGCUGAAGAGGAGAGCGGAAUUCCACGUGUAGCGGUGAAAUGCGUAGAGAUGUGGAGGAACACCAGUGGCGAAGGCGGCUCUCUGGUCUGUAACUGACGGUGAGGCGCGAACGCGUGGGGAGCAAUCAGG